rnacentral:rRNA from 1 species
CCUACGGGAGGCAGCAGUGGGGAAUAUUGCACAAUGGGGGAAACCCUGAUGCAGCGACGCCGCGUGAGUGAAGAAGUAUUUCGGUAUGUAAAGCUCUAUCAGCAGGGAAGAAAAUGACGGUACCUGACUAAGAAGCCCCGGCUAACUACGUGCCAGCAGCCGCGGUAAUACGUAGGGGGCAAGCGUUAUCCGGAUUUACUGGGUGUAAAGGGAGCGUAGACGGUAGAACAAGUCUGAAGUGAAAGCCCGCGGCUCAACUGCGGUACUGCUUUG